CGUCACUGGUCACAAACUUACUUCUGUAAUUUAUUUAUUUAUCUGGGACAGUGCACAUUAAUGAACAAUCUAACAUUUCUGUACAGACUGUAAAUGAGCCAGGUUAUAGCAUAAAUGCUAAUUUUCACCUGUAGUCCCGAGUCAGGAAAACA